CAGGUCAGAGAAGACUACCCGCUGGACUUAAGCAUAUCACUAAGCGGAGGAAAAGAAACUAACUAGGAUUCCCCCAGUAACUGCGAGUGAAGAGGGAAGAGCUCAUCAUUGGAAUCUGGCAGUGUUUUCACUGUCCGAGUUGUAGAUGAGGAGUAGUCCAUCUGGACUGCAUGGCGUCCAAGUACAAUAGGCCGUCAGUGGGACAUCAUAGAGGGUGACAAUCCCGUCCUUGAUGCCAAUGUGCAAGUCCGUUACGAUGGCUAUCUCAGAGAGUCGAGCAGUUUGGGAUUUGCUGCUUAAACAUGGGAGGUAGAUUCCUUCUAAAGCUAAAUACAGGCGAGAGACCGAUAGAGAACAAGUACCGCAAGGGAAAGAUGAAAUAGCACUCUGUGAAGGGAGUCAAAAGACGUGAAAUUGUUGCGAGAGAAGCGAUUCAAGUCAGCGUAGCUAGGCCCAUCAAGCCUCUUGCUUUGGACUAGCUUUGCCAGCGGUCUUGUCCUAAGAGACUUGACUUUUAUAUGUCCAGCCUGGUAUGUACAGGUAGCCCCAUCGGGGCCAGUGACAUGGCUGGUGGAAUGGCUUGCAAUCGACCCGUCUUGAAACACGGACCA
rnacentral:rRNA from 1 species